AGCGAACGCUGGCGGCAGGCCUAACACAUGCAAGUCGAACGGAUCCUUCGGGAUUAGUGGCGGACGGGUGAGUAACACGUGGGAACGUGCCCUUUGGUUCGGAACAACUCAGGGAAACUUGAGCUAAUACCGGAUGUGCCCUUCGGGGGAAAGAUUUAUCGCCAUUGGAGCGGCCCGCGUCUGAUUAGCUAGUUGGUGGGGUAAAGGCCCACCAAGGCGACGAUCAGUAGCUGGUCUGAGAGGAUGAUGAGCCACAUUGGGACUGUGACACGGCCCAGACUCGUACGGGAGGCAGCAGUGGGGAAUCUUGCGCAAUGGGCGAAAGCCUGACGCAGCCAUGCCGCGUGAAUGAUGAAGGUCUUAGGAUUGUAAAAUUCUUUCACCGGGGACGAGAAUGACGGUACCCGGAGAAGAAGCCCCGGCUAACUUCGUGCCAGCAGCCGCCGUAA
rnacentral:rRNA from 1 species